UACGUAGGGGGCUAGCGUUGUCCGGAAUCAUUGGGCGUAAAGCGCGCGUAGGCGGCCAGAUAAGUCCGGUGUGAAAGUCAAAGGCUCAACCUUUGAAUGCCGCUGGAAACUGUCUGGCUAGAGUCCGGAAGGGGCGAGUGGAACUCCUGGUGUAGCGGUGAAAUGCGCAGAUAUCAGGAAGAACACCUAUGGCGAAGGCAGCUCGCUAGGACGGUACUGACGCUGAGGCGCGAAAGCGUGGGGAGCGAACAGG
rnacentral:rRNA from 1 species